UGGGGAAUAUUGCACAAUGGACGGAAGUUUGAUGCAGCGACGCCGCGUGGGGGGUGUAGGCCUUCGGGUUGUGAACUCCUUUUUCUCGCGAAAAAGGCACAGUCUUGGCCGUGGUGAUUGUAGUGGGGUAAGAAACGCCGGCUCACUACGUGCCAGCAGCCGCGCUGCUACGUAGGGCGCGAGCGUUGUUCGGAUUUAUUGGGCGUAAAGAGCUCGUAGGUGGUUCGUCGCGUCUGUCGUGAAAGCCAGCAGCUUAACUGUUGGUCUGCGGUGGGUACGGGCGGGCUUGAGUGCGGUAGGGGGGACUGGAAUUCCUGGUGUAGCGGUGGAAUGCGCAGAUAUCAGGAGGAACACCGAUGGCGAAGGCAGGUCACUGGGCCGUUACUGACACUGAGGAGCGAAAGCGUGGGGAGCGAACAGG
rnacentral:rRNA from 1 species